AGAGUUUGAUCAUGGCUCAGGACGAACGCUGGCGGCGUGCUUAACACAUGCAAGUCGAACGGAAAGGCCCUGCUUUUGUGGGGUGCUCGAGUGGCGAACGGGUGAGUAACACGUGAGUAACCUGCCCUUGACUUUGGGAUAACUUCAGGAAACUGGGGCUAAUACCGGAUAGGAGCUCCUGCUGCAUGGUGGGGGUUGGAAAGUUUCGGCGGUUGGGGAUGGACUCGCGGCUUAUCAGCUUGUUGGUGGGGUAGUGGCUUACCAAGGCUUUGACGGGUAGCCGGCCUGAGAG
rnacentral:rRNA from 1 species